rnacentral:rRNA from 1 species
AGUGAACGCUGGCGGCGUGCUUAACACAUGCAAGUCGAACGAGAACGGAAUAUAGCUUGCUAUAUUUGUCAGCUAAGUGGCGCACGGGGGAGAAAUGUAUAGAUAACCUGCCCUUAAGAAAGGAAUAACAGUAGGAAACGACUGCUAAUGCCCUAUAUGCCUUUAAUACAUAAGUAUGCAAGGGAAACGCUUUAUUGGUUAAGGAUGGGUCUGUAUGGUAUCAGCUUGUUGGUGAGGUAAUGGCUCACCAAGGCUAUUACGCAUAACUGGUUUGAGAGGAUGAUCAGUCAGACUGAGACUGAGACGCGGUCCAGAAUCCGAGGGGAGGCAGCAGUGGGGAAUAUUGCACAAUGGGAGAGAGGCUGAUGCUGCGACGCCGCGUGGGGGAUAACGGUCUUCGGGUUGUAAACCUCUUUCAGCAGCGAAGAAUCGAAAGUGACGGUACCAGCAGAAGAAGCACCGGCUAACUACGUGCCAGCAGCCGCCGCGG